rnacentral:tRNA from 1 species
GGAUUGUAGCUCAGUGGUAGAGUGCUUGCCUAGCACAUGUGAGGCACUGGGUUUGAUCCUCAGCACCA